rnacentral:rRNA from 1 species
GCAUAUCAAUAAGCGGAGGAAAAGAAACCAACAGGGAUUGCCCUAGUAACGGCGAGUGAAGCGGCAUCAGCUCAAAUUUGAAAUCUGGCUCUUUCAGAGUCCGAGUUGUAAUUUGCAGAGGGCGCUUUGGUGUCGGCAGCGGUCCAAGUUCCUUGGAACAGGACGUCACAGAGGGUGAGAAUCCCGUACGUGGUCGCUGACCUACACCGUGUAAAGCCCCUUCGACGAGUCGAGUUGUUUGGGAAUGCAGCUCUAAAUGGGAGGUAAAUUUCUUCUAAAGCUAAAUACUGGCCAGAGACCGAUAGCGCACAAGUAGAGUGAUCGAAAGAUGAAAAGCACUUUGGAAAGAGAGUCAAACAGCACGUGAAAUUGUUGAAAGGGAAGCGCUUGCAGCCAGACUUGCUUGUAGUUGCUCAUCCGGGCUUUUGCCCGGUGCACUCUUCUGCGAGCAGGCCAGCAUCAGUUUGGACGGUUGGAUAAAGGCCUCUGUCACGUACCUUCUCUCGGGAAGGCCUUAUAGGGGAGGCGUCAUGCAACCAGUCUGGACUGAGGUCCGCGC